rnacentral:rRNA from 1 species
UACGUAGGUGGCAAGCGUUGUCCGGAAUUAUUGGGCGUAAAGCGCGCGCAGGCGGCUUCUUAAGUCUAAUGUGAAAGCCUUCGGCUCAACCGAAGAAGUGCAUUGGAAACUGGGAGACUUGAGUGCAGAAGAGGACAGUGGAACUCCAUGUGUAGCGGUGAAAUGCGUAGAUAUAUGGAAGAACACCAGUGGCGAAGGCGGCUCUCUGGUCUGUAACUGACGCUGAGGCGCGAAAGCGUGGGGAGCAAACAGG